GGGGGGGGGGGGGGGGGGGGGGGGGGGGGGGGGGGGGGGGGGGGGGGGGGGGGGGGGAUGCAGGGUUUGGGAUGGGGGGAUUUGGGGUGCAGGAUUUGGGAUACAGGGUUUGGGAUGGGGGGUUUGGGGUGCAGGAUGGGAUGGGGGGUUUGGGACGCAGGAUUUGGGGUGCAGGAUUUGGGAUGGGGGGUUUGGGACGCAGGAUUUGGGGUGCAGGAUUUGGGAUGGGGGGUUUGGGACGCAGGAUUUGGGGUGCAGGAUUUGGGAUGGGGGGUUUGGGACGCAGGAUUUGGGGUGCAGGAUUUGGGAUUUUCCUCGGGCGCUGCUGGCCCUGCGCCUCCCGAGCAGGAAUUCUCCUCUCCAGCCCGGAACAAUGGCCCGUCCUGGUCUCCUUAGAAACCGCGGCUCCGCUUCCCUCGGGCAGCCGCGCGUCCCCCGGAGCGGGGGGGGGGGGGGGGGGGGGGGCGUCCCCCGGAGCCCCCUCCCGCUCCCGGGGCUUCUCCCGGCGGCGGCUCUCUGCAAUUGCUCCCGAUUUCUCCAACUUCUCAAACCUCAGGGAAUCUUUUGAAUUCCGCCCCCAUUCCUCCCUCCCUUCCCCUCCCCAACCCAAACGUCGCUCCCGGUGUUUCCUGGAAACGCGAAAUUUUCCCGCAGCUUUCUCAAACUUUCGGGGCUCCGUGAGGAAAAGUCUCCCUCAUGGAUUUUGGAGGGUUUUGGGAAGCAGCUCCUUGGCUGGAUGUGGGAGCUCAUCCUGAAGCUCGGCCAGCAGCCAGCUAAGCUCUCCCAGAGCUCUGGAGAACGGAUUUAUUUGGGGAAUAAAUAAAUUUUGGGAAGUACAAACCCCGCUCCGGGGGCAGGACCUGUCCUGUGAGGGUGGGGAGGAAUUUUUGGUGCUCUGGAUUCGGAGAGUUUGGGGAGAAAAGGGAAGGGAAGUGGCUUUUUUUGGUCUUUUCUGGAGGAGGGAAUGUUCCAGGGGAAGUGGGAGACAGAAAUCCCAGAUGUCAGGGAAGGGGAGGAGGUUGGGAAUGCCCCAAAAAUAGGAGCCUGAAAUUUGGAUAUGCGGGAAUUGGGAUUACCCAGCAGCUGGGAAUGCCCGAAUAGGUGAGAGACUGAAAUCUGGAUUCUUGGGGAAAAGGAGGAAAUUGGGAAUAUCACAAAAACAAGAGCCUGGGGUUCGGGUUCCUGGGGAAAAGGAGGAAAUUUGGAAUACGCAGCAGCCGGGAAGGGAGUCUGGGCGUGCGGGUCCCGGCAGCCCGAAGCUGGAGCCCGUUCCCAGUCCUGGAUCGCGGCCAUCCCUCAUUCCCGCCCCCUGCGGACACUUCCAGGAAAAACUCCGGCCCUGCCUCGGUGCCACCGUCAGUGUUUUAUUCCCGGCCCGGGGCGGUUUCUGAUCCUUCCCUGGGAAUGGAGCCCCCGGUCCGAGCUCCCGUCCCGCCCCGUGCCCCGGAACGGCGGCGCCGGGGGGGGGGGGGGGGGGGGGGGGGGGGGGGGGGGGGGGGGGGGGGGGGGGGGGGGGGGGGGGGGGGGGGGGGGGGGGGGGGGGGGGG
ensembl:lncRNA